GCCUCUCGAUAAAUGUGUUGAGACCUCAAAUUAUCCUGGGGAGAUUCAAAGAAGCAUAAGUCCUUGGUUGUGGUCCACAGGCCUCUUCACAGCUAAUAAUGGUCAAAGAGAAAAACCUGACAGGGACCCAAGAGACAUACAGAUCUUUUCUCCCCUUUCCCAGGGUGGUUGACCGCUCUUGAAUGUCCUUUUUCGAAAAGAAGAGCUGAGCUUGAUUUGGCUCAGUCAUUUACUGACCCUGAGCCUCCCUGGGCUUUGGGAAGGAAGCAAGGAUCCGAUAGGAUGAUGCAGCCGAGAGCCCUAAGUGAACAUUGGGGGCACUGGGGGUCUCCACGCCGGUGAGCGCCUGUCCUCUCUGUGGGUGAUGAGUGAGAGUGACGUAGGUCUCCGCGCAUGCGCAGAGCUGUUUGUAGGGGCAAAAGGGCCGCCCUGGAGUCCUGGAUAUGGUUUCAGUCUGCAGGGGGUAAGGGCGGUGGCAGCUGUGUUUGUUUACCGGGGCGAUAGCCGAAGAAGGUGACAGCACUCCUUUGGGGUUGUCUAAGAUUGGGUAUGUGAUGGAGCCACAAAGUUGAGGCCACAAAGGGGACUCCAUUUUGGCUCAGGGCAUUUGUCAGCAACUCCUGGAUGGGAGUGGGUGGUACUGGGAGCUGGGGGAUGGGUAGGGCCACCGUAGAGCAGGCAGGUCUCCAUCCUGUGCUUCUCCAAGUGUGGGCGGCCGUCACACACCCCGUGAAGCCUGGGCACUGGUCACACUGUGAGCCGCGGCACAAGCCAGCAGGUGAUGUAUCAGCAACCUGAGAAUGUGUGUGGCCCCGAUCGGAACCAGGGCAGCAUUGGAAGGAAGUGCACAUCGGUGAGGGGCUCGGGCCCAGCCCCGCUGCUGGCCUCUGCAGUGGCCGUGGGGGCGCUGAACAACACCUGAAUGGACUUUAUCCUGAAGUCAGUGUGUGUAACUCCUGCGAUUAGCUAACCAGGUGACUCAUUGCUUACACUUCCUGAGUCCUCAACCUUUUUUUUUUUCCAGGAAGAUCCCUAUAAACUGGUCAUAAAAUAUGCCGCGUGCGGUGCCAAAUGCCUCUGCAGAUACUUGACUCCAUUCUGCAUGUUCAGAUGGCUCACCAGGCCGCAGUCACCUUCCGCUGACUCUGCUCACCCCGUGGGGUUCACCCUUGGCCGCAGCUUUCUCCCUGACCCAGCUCUAUCUACAGGCUAGACUUUGUUCUUUUGCCCAUCCACAAACACCUUUACUCACUCACCCCUGCCCCAGCCGUUACUGAGCACCUACCAAGCCAGACCCCCUGCCCACCCCCAGGUAUAUAAAGCUAACUGAGGCACAGACCCCACCUUCGAGGGCUUGUGACAGCCAACCACAGGGAGGGAGCUAAGUGCUCUGAAAGAACAAAUCCCUGGGCCCUCGGUACGGUUAUCCAUACAGACUUGCUCAGCAACUUUCAUAGAGAAAAUGCAGUAGCAUCUGGCCUGUCAUCAGUGAGUAAUAAAAUACUUAUUAUACUUAUAAAUAUACUCAGCCCCACUGAGGAUUUUCCAGGACAAGUGCUAUCUAGAUGUGCCCUUAUUCUGAUCUAAAACACCUAAUGACCGCACAGGCUGAUGCAAACAUAAUGAUAUUAGUUAUUUGGUUAAAACGUGGCCCUGUGCAAGAUUUUUGUAGACCAGCCGUGCGGUGCAAACAGAACUUUUUUUUGAAGCCAUGUUUUGGGUAGCCCAGUGAAUUAGGAAUACUGGAAUCAAGAUCAAGGGAAGAAUGGGAACCUAUCCCAGGUGCGUCUCCCACAAUGCACCUCACCUGGGUAAACACACAUUUGCAUAUCAAUGUAUGGAUUACAGACUUCCUUUUCUGAGACCUAGGAGGUGCCCCAUUCCGCACGCAGGGGGUCCAACAGCCAACCGGCUCUCUCAAACCCGGUGCAAUAUGAGAACCAAGGACUCAGGUCUUCAGAGCCCCAGGGGCCAGUCCUAUGGAGCAGUCCUUCGCUCUGCUUUCCCUAAAAGGAGGGGACUCUGCUUUGUAACUCACCCUGCCUUCACAUGUGGGCCUGGCCUCCGGUCUCACAGGCUGCGCUGGCUUCUGCACGAGCAGGCCGGAUUUUGAAAUUACCUUUGGAGCCAGCCGUUAUAAAAAGCCCGGUACUCAGAGGGGAAGAAAGGUAGUUUUGAUGGUAGCUGAUGAGCUCACCGGGUACGGAUGGAACUUUUCAAACAGGCCAAAUUAAAGAGCAGGCCUUGAGCCUGGGGCCUCACAGUGCUGCUGCGAGGAGCAGGUGGGAAGAGUAUCAGAUGUGUGAAGUACAGGUGACAGGUAACCUGAUCGCCGUGGCUGAGUCGCAGUGUGUGAGGCAUGGCGGGAGGCAGUGCCGGUGGGGGCAAAGCCGCGCCCCUCUCAUCUGUCUGCAGAGGGGCCAACAGGUUAACCCAAGCCUGUUCCUGCAGGGCUGACAGUGGCUGGUUGCAGCCGAUGAAAGUGGAUGUAAAUCAGUGCGGUUUCCCCUGGUGGCAGUAAUGAACGCACGGAACCUCGCUGGAAGCAGACCGAGUAAGAAGGCACCAUCUGUGAACUGGGAGGCAGACUUUCACCAGACACUGAGUCUACUGGUGCCUUGAUCUUGGGUUUCCCAGCUUCCAGAACUGUGGGAAAUAAAUGUUUGUGGUUAAUAAGCCUCCUAGUCUAUGGUACUUUUGUUAUAACAGCCCGAAUGGACUAAGCCACAGCCCUGCCAGACUAAUACCAUAACUUUAGUUCCAAAGCAGAUUAAAAUGAAAUCCCUCAGAGAUCGUUAAAUGUGUGUGUGUGUGUGUGUGUGUGUGUGUGUGUGUGUGCAGUAUAAACAUGUGGCAGCAACACCUCUGUGUCAUAUGCACAGACAUCCUUUGUCACCCACUAAGCACUCUGGGGAAGGACUCAGAUAAAAUGAAGAGCUUUGAGUUCCAAGUUCUGUCUCUGGCCUUGGAAUGCUCAAAGACCUUCCCAGCUGUUCUGUGUUCAAGGGUGGCUUUCAAGAGCUGGGAGGGUGGUUGGAGCUACUCCUGGGUUUCUCUGAGCCCCUCAAAGAACACUUUGAGUGCAUGAGAAACCGUCUCCACACUACCUGCAGUGGAUGCCAUGGUGCUGAGGAACAGUGGCAAAAGCACGAAUUGAAGAGAAGGAUUCUGAGCUCAGAAGUAAACCCUCACGUAUGUGGUCAACUAAUAUUUGAUGAGGGAGCCAAGAACACCCAAUGGGGAAAGGAUCGUCUUCAACAGAUGGUGUUGGGAAUACUGGAUAAACACAUAAAGAAAGAUGAAAUUGGACUUCCGUCUUCCACUAUGCACAGAAAUUAACUUGAAAUGGAUCAGAAGAUCCAAAACUGUAAAAUUCCUGGAAGAAAACAUAGGGGAGAAACUCCUUGACAUUGAUCUUGCCAAUACUUUUUUGGAUAUGCACAAAUUCAAAAAAAAAAAAAAAAAAAAAGCAAAAAUCAACAAGUAAGACUGCCUCAAACUUAAAAGCUUCUGCACGGCAAAAGAAACAAUCGACAACAGGGAAAGACAACUUGUAGAAUGGCAGAAGAUGUUUGCAACCCAUGUCUCUGAUAUAUCCAAAAUUUAUAAAGAAUUCACACAACUCAGUGACAAAAAAAUUCCCUAAACGAUAUGAUUUAAAAAAUAGGCAGAGGAACUAAAGAGAUGUUUUACCAAAGAAGACAUCCAAAUGGUCGGCAGGUACGUGAAAAGAUGCUCAACAUCAUUCUUCAUCAGGGAAGCAAAUCAAAACCACAAUGAGACACCACCUCACCCCUAUUAGGACGGCUAGCGUCAAGAAGACAAGAGGGGACAAGUACUGGUGAGGAUGUGGAGAAAAGGGAACCCUUGGGCACUGUGGGUGGGAAUGUAAAUUGGUGCAAUCACUGUGGAGAUUCCUCAAAAAUAAAUUAAAAAAACAGAAUGAUUCAGCAGUUCCAUCUCUGGGUAUAGACCCCAAAGAAAUGAAAACAGCAUAUUGAACAGGUGUACACACUCCCCAUGUUGAUUGUAAUAUUAUUAACAAUAGUCAAGGUAUGGAAACAAGCUAUGUGCCUGUCAACAGACGAGUGGAUAAAGAGCGCGCGCGCACACACACACACACACACACACAAAUAUUAUUCAUCCAUGAGAGAGGAGGAAAUCUUACCAUUUGAGACAACAUGGAUGGAUCUCGAGGACAUUAUGUGGAGCGAGAUAAGUCAGAGAAAGACACCUACUGUAUCAUAUCACUUAUAUGUGGAAUCUAAGAACGCCGAACUCCUGCCAAUAGAGUGAAAUUUGCUUCCCAGGGGUUGGGGUGAGGCGGGGGAAUAGGAGUGAGGUUACUACUAGCAGAUUAAUAAGUCCUGGGUCUCUAAUAGACAGUACAGUGACUAUAGGCAGCAAUAUUGUAUUUAUCAGACUUUCUAAGAGAUUAUAUCUUAAUUGUCCUUACCGCAAAAAACCAAAACAUAAUUAUGUGACAUGAUAGAGGUGCUAAAUACAAUGGCGAUCACAUUACAAUAUGUAGGAAUAUCAAAUCAGCAUGUUGUACACCUUAACCGUACACAAUAUUGUAUGUCGAAUAUAUUUCAAUAAACAAAGAAGCAUUCCGUACACUUGGCCUCCAGCCCCUAAAGUGUAGAAAGCCAGGGCUCUCACUGUUCCCCUGAACUGUGAUCCUGACAGGUCGCCAGGAGCCCGGCACCCCGGCCGACACCCAGUUCCCAGAGACAUUGUGCACGAUGGUGGAAUCACACGUUGCCCCUGUCCCAGCUUCUUGGGACCCUCUGUAGAUGGGUCUUGGUGUGGUGACAGGAACGGGGGGAAUGCAGUCAUUCUGGGGUUGAAGAAUUUCAUUUAACACACAAUAAACGUUUGUUGUGCGUCUGCCUUGUGUCAGACGCUGUGUGAUAACACUUUUAUGUUUCUUCCAUUUAAUCCAUGUGAUAAUCCUGUGAGAUAGGAAUUCCCUUCUCCAUGUAAGAGACGAGGAAACCACAAAGGGCCAAGAACAUAACUGGAGAGGGGCCGAGAUAGUUCUAGAAUAUCCAUUCUUUGACAUCAAAGUAGUAUGUAUGUGAGUGUGUAUAGAUCACCUCAUAUGUGACUGUGGCGUUCAGGUGUUCAAACAUUUGCCUUGGUUCCCUUUUCCUCUAAAAUCUGCACUGCGGACUGUGUCCCUAUGUCCUUGAGAGUAGAGCCCGCCCCUGGGAGGAGCUGGGAGACUGUGACCCCAUUGGGGCCUGGUGUAGGGCUCCAGGGAGAGUGGCUAGGUUUACCAAACAAAAAUGCAAGAUGCCUGGUUAAAUUUGAAUUGAGUUUCAGAUAAACUACGAAUAUUUUCUUUUUAGUAUGAGUAUGUCCCACGCAAUGUUCAAGAUAUACUUAUGCUAAAAAAAAGUAUUCCCUUGUUUAUUUAAAAUUCGAAUUUAACUCUAGUUCCAGAUGAAGCUUGCAGUUUGGUCUAAUGCUGAAGGGGGCUCUGUUUGCAGAGGCUGGGACUGGAUUCAGCUUUGCUCAUGAACUCUGCAGGCUCUCCACAGCUCUUUCUGAAAUCAGUCUCACCGUCUACACUCAAGGUCACAAACCGGCAACUUGGGCAGAAUCUAACCAGCUAUGUUUUGUUUAGCUGGCAUGAUGUUGAUUUUUU